UGGUCUCGGUGAUGGGAGGGGCAGUGGGGGACUGGUUGAUGUAUUAAGAAUUGAUUUUUUUCGAGGGAUGUUGGUUUGAUGUGGGAUAUUACAGAUAAAGAGCUAGUGGGUCAGAAUUAAUAAAAAGAUGGUAUAAAAGUACAUUAAAGUAAAGGUUUCGGGACUUACGUUUAUGUACGUAUAAACCAGGUUUGAUUACUUAUAAGAAGGCUGAAGUCCCAUUCUUUCACCGACAGUCUCUGAAUCACCUUCACUAUUUCCACGACUCUGUUAUGUGGAAGAUCUUCAAUGACGAUGUUCGGACGUCCGUACUCGGCCCAAUUUGGAAUCAGGUGGGUAUCGGGCUCUCGGAUUAAAAACUAGUGGGUAUGCCACCCCUUGUUGCUCGAAGGGGUGUUAAUUAAUGAUCACUUUUCAAGGUGUUUUGGUAUGUUUGUUUUGCUUUGUUGUUUGCUUAUUUGCCAAAACCUUGGUUCUCGGGAUCGGCUUACAAAGAAAAGGGAUAGCAAGAAAGCUAUGGAUGAGGAAACGUUGAGCUCAUGGCAAACAGAUGAAGGCAAAUGUAGAAAUUUGGCACCAACUGAGAAAAACCCAUGCCAAUAAAUCCUAGCAGUGUUAUGAUGAAGGCAUGAAGGGGUAGGCAAACCCCUUUUUCCAGUAAGGUAAGGGACAUGACAGUCCAACCGUCAGUAUGGUGGUAUAUAUGAUCGGCUUCAAAAAGAGCUUUGAGAUCGUAGGUGUCGGGGAUACGAAAUUGCUUCUGAAAUUCGACGAGAUUCUUUUCCUUGAUGGUGGAUUUGGCGUUAACAUGAGGGAAUUGCGCUUUGUUGGAGUAUUCCAUAAUCAUUUUCUGGUUUUCCAACUCUACCUUUGAUUGGCCCGACGCUUGGGGGCAGAGCUGAUCGCGGUGGUUAUUGUGGUAGCUUGGGUGGUGGUGGUAAGGACCGAGAAUUUAA
rnacentral:lncRNA from 1 species